AUAGACUGUACAGUAUGCAUGUGACAUUCUAAUGCAAUAUGAGGAGCAGUAAGCAAACGGUACAUUUAAUUUCAGUUCUCAGUUUCAAAUUCUAGAGUAAUAAAAGAAAAUCAGCAACUGCGAUUGUUCAACUUUGGAUUGGAUGACAUCUGCCAUCAAUUCCACGGUUGAUGGUCGGAGUUGUUGUAGCGAAGUUGCACAAUCGCAGUUGACAUUUAUGCUGAUUUUACAAGUAUUUCUCUUGAUUGGGUACUGAGAACUGUAUUUAAAUGUACCAUUUACUUACUGCUUCAAGUCGACAGUAACACCGUAUUUGCGACCGUCAAAUCCCAAUCAAGUUAAUCCAAAUGAGUAAAACCCGGUCGCAUUUUUAGCCUGUCCCAAGUUAGUAACCUGUGACAUUUGUAGGUCUUGUAUGUUUUUUUUUGUUUUUUUGUUUUUUUUGUUAGUUCAUUCUAUGGUUCGGAGUCAAAUGUGGCAUCCAUUUAUGCUGAAAUAGUCGACAUUUUUAUUAAGGGUCCAGUUGGAGCCCGCCUCUAAGGGCGGGAUUUUCUCGCUGUGUUGAAGAUCCAUUGUUGGUAUUAAUCUGUUUCUACUCUUUGGAUGGGUUGUUGUCUCUUCAGUGACACAUUCUACGUUUCCAUUCUCAAUUUUUUGAAAACCUGGAUCGUUAUUUAUUAGUAGAUAUCAAUUUUAUUGUUGAUGCUAUUUAAAGUAUUGAUGUCAUAAACUAGACAGAACUAGUUAUAUCUGUAUAUCUUGGACAUAACUAAUCGUAUAUAAUUGAUGUCAUAAACCAUACUAACCUAGUUACCCCAGCAUCUUCUAUGUUCUAUAAUUCUAGUCUCAAGUACAGUUAUAUUCUAUUGUCUAUAAAUAGAUCAUGAAAUUACUAAUUCUAGUAUCUGUUCAUUGCAUCUGCAGAUCAAACAAAGCAAUGCCAAUAUUAUGUAUGUUCUGUUUAUUGUUAUAAGUAAUUAGGUAGAUGAGUAUACAGAGAAGCCAGUCACUGUCUUGGUGGCCUUUGUCUCAACCCCGCUUUUGUUCAACGUUUCAAAAGAAAAUCAUUUAUAACACAUGUUAAAUGUGUUUUCAUUAUCCCUGAGCAAUUGUAUUUAAAUGUUUUAUUACAUGUAGUUGUCUAUUAAUAAAUUUCUUAACUAAUAUGCAUUCAUAUCUGCGCCAACUGUAGGCCAUAUCAGUACUGAAUGCAAGUCGUAUCUACAUUAAAUGUAGGUCAUAUCAGCAGUCAAUGUAGGUCAGGUUAGCAGAUAAUAUAGGUCAAGUUAGCAUAUAAUGUCACAGUAUGUCAAAUCAUCACUAUACAGUUAGUAUUUAUUUCACAUCAGCACUAAAUCACUAACUGUAGGUCGAAUUCUUUAACCACUAGACUCUGCGUGAUUUACAAUUUUUAUAAACUUAAUAUUUUAUGUAUAUCUGCUGUCUCAUUGACGUGUUCUUUAGAUAUGAAUAAUUCGAUUUGAUUGCCGGGCCUUUAUUUUCGUUGGAAUUUGGGAUUUUCCCUUAUCGGGACUCGAGACUCGGAUCUCGGGAUUUAAUUAUUAUAUUAGCGGAAUUCCUGAAAGAAUGCUUUACUUUUUCGGGAAUUUGGGAUGACACCCUCUCCAAUCGUCCCUCUUCAGUCAAGCUGCAAACUCUAAUAUGCGAUUUCG
rnacentral:lncRNA from 1 species